AGGAGGCGGAUGGGUUAGGGGUAGCUGAAGCCGUUACCCUGCGACAGACAUAAGACAAAAGGCACGAAUGCCCGAAUGAAUGAAUUGCCCGAAACAAAUGAAAUGUAGGGAAACGAGAAUGGAGGGAUAAAAACACAUGAGGAAGUGGCGGGAAAAUAAAGGAGCUGGGUGGGGGACAGUGUUGAACAAUGAGUACCAGGGUAAUUAUAUUAAAAAGGCAGUAAGUGGAAAAAUAAUUGGGUAGGGGUGGGAUAGGAACAUAGUGGCGCUAGCACAGAAGGAGAAGUGUGGGCUGCCUGCAAUGCAAAUGGUACCUCAAUAGGGCAAGAACUAAUGGUGGGGGGACCGAUCUCUAUAGGUAAAGGGGGGUGAGGGAAGGAAACAGUAAAAUGGGGUUAAAAAAAAAAAAGAUUAGUACAAAAUGUGAAGGAAUAAUUGCAAAAUGAAGGUGAAGGCAGAAAGCAAAAUUUAAUAAAAAUGGAAUAGAUCCCCUAGUUAAGUAAAGAUUAAAUGGAGAUAGAUGAAGGGGCAAGAGCAAAGGGACAGAUGGGUCAGAAAGGAAAAGCAAAGAAGGGAGAGAGGAGAUAUAUAUAUAUAUAUACACACACACACACAAAGGUAGAAAGAGAAGUGAUGAGCUAUUGUCAUAUUCCCAUUAUAAACGUACCCUGUCUGGGUUUAUACUACUUAAUCUAAAGGGAACAUAUACGUGUCGCUGCUAUGUCCCGAAGUUGUCUUUAGAGGAAACUUCGGGUGACUUCGAGCCAUAGCAGCGACUCGUAUGCCAUCCCAUCGGCGAUUUACAUUCUAGCCAGUGGGAUGGCAUUGCGGGGAGAUAAGUCACCCACGACAACCAAGAAUUGUUGCGGGGCAACUAAUUUCCCUGUGUGCCACUGCCCUUAUAGGGCAGAGAUCCCCAUAACCAACACCUAAGAACACGCAAUGACUUGUGUUACUAAACAUUAAGAAUACACUCACAUAAACAGAUAAACCUAGAGUAGGCAACAUUAGAUGUGCAUGGCUGAACUACAGUAUAGAAAGCCAAUAUAACGAUUUGUUUCUUCCUCUUUUAUGUAUUGGAUAUUGACUUAUUGGCUUCUGGCACCCGCGGAAGAAAAUGGGAACUUCACUGUGUAAACUGGGACAUGUGAGGAAGAUUAGUAUAUACUGUACAGCAAAACAGAUGGAACUGUGCUUGUAUCAGUUUAUAAAGAUGAAAGACUGACAGUGAAGAGACAGAGGACAGUGAGGGAAGUGAGAUAGAUGAGGAAAGCAGUGAAAGUGAAGGAAGUGGGGACAUCUCGGAUACAAGCUCUGAUGAUUCAAGUGAAGAAGAAGAUGUUCCUUAGGUGGGAUAUUAUGUACCAGUAUUCAUUGGUUCUGAAUAUUUACAUCAUUACCGAAUAUCUAAAUAAAUUCUGUUUGUGUAAA